UACGUAGGGGGCAAGCGUUGUCCGGAAUCAUUGGGCGUAAAGAGCGUGUAGGCGGCUCGGUAAGUCCGCUCUGAAAGCCCGGGGCUCAACCCCGGGAGGCGGGCGGAUACUGUCGGGCUAGAGUCCGGAAGAGGCGAGUGGAAUUCCUGGUGUAGCGGUGAAAUGCGCAGAUAUCAGGGAGGAACACCAAUGGCGAAGGCAGCUCGCUGGGACGGUAACUGACGCUGAGACGCGAAAGCGUGGGGAGAA
rnacentral:rRNA from 1 species